AGCACCGGCUAACUCCGUGCCAGCAGCCGCGGUAAUACGGAGGGUGCGAGCGUUAAUCGGAAUUACUGGGCGUAAAGGGUGCGUAGGUGGUUUGAUAAGAUAUCUGUGAAAUACCUGGGCUUAACCUGGGAAGGUCAGAUAAUACUGUUGAACUCGAGUAUGGGAGAGGGUAGUGGAAUUUCCGGUGUAGCGGUGAAAUGCGUAGAGAUCGGAAGGAACAUCAGUGGCGAAGGCGGCUAUCUGGCCUAAUACUGACACUGAGGCACGAAAGCGUGGGGAGCAAACAGGAUUAGAUACCCUGGUAGUCCACGCUGUAAACGAUGUCAACU
rnacentral:rRNA from 1 species